ACGGAGGGUGCAAGCGUUAAUCGGAAUUACUGGGCGUAAAGCGCACGCAGGCGGUCUGUCAAGUCGGAUGUGAAAUCCCCGGGCUCAACCUGGGAACUGCAUUCGAAACUGGCAGGCUAGAGUCUUGUAGAGGGGGGUAGAAUUCCAGGUGUAGCGGUGAAAUGCGUAGAGAUCUGGAGGAAUACCGGUGGCGAAGGCGGCCCCCUGGACAAAGACUGACGCUCAGGUGCGAAAGCGUGGGGAGCAAACAGGAUUAGAUACCCUGGUAGUCCACGCCGUAAACGAUGUCGAUUUGGAGGUUGUGCCCUUGAGGCGUGGCUUCCGGAGCUAACGCGUUAAAUCGACCGCCUGGGGAGUACGGCCGCAAGGUUAAAACUCAAAUGAAUUGACGGGGGCCCGCACAAGCGGUGGAGCA
rnacentral:rRNA from 1 species